rnacentral:rRNA from 1 species
UAUCAGCUAGUUGGUGAGGUAACGGCUCACCAAGGCAUCGACGGGUAGCUGGUCUGAGAGGACGAUCAGCCACACUGGGACUGAGACACGGCCCAGACUCCUACGGGAGGCAGCAGUGGGGAAUCUUGCGCAAUGGGCGAAGCCUGACGCAGCAACGCCGCGUGGGGGAUGAAGGCUCUCGGGUUGUAAACCCCUUUCAGCAGGGACGAAAUUGACGGUACCUGCAGAAGAAGCCCCGGCUAACUACGUGCCAGCAGCCGCGGUAACACGUAGGGGGCAAGCGUUGUCCGGAUUUAUUGGGCGUAAAGAGCUCGUAGGUGGCUAAGUAAGUCGGGUGUCAAAUCCCCAGGCUCAACCUGGGUCCCCACUCGAUACUGCUUUUGGCUAGAGUCCGGUAGGGGAGCGUGGAAUUCCUGGUGUAGCGGUGAAAUGCGCAGAUAUCAGGAGGAACACCAGCGGCGAAGGCGGCGCUCUGGGCCGGUACUGACACUGAGGAG